AGGGGGUGGGCCUCAUACAAACUUACCGAAUAAUGAAAGGCCUGGAUAGAGUGGAUGUGGAGAGGAUGUUUCCACUAGUUGGAGUAUCUAGGACCAGACGGCUCAGCCUCAGUAUAAAAGGACGUACCUUUAGAAAGGAGAUGAGGAGGAAUUUUUGUAGUCAGGGGUAUUUAAUCAUUGGAAUUAAUUGUCACUUAAGGCUGUGGUGGCCAAGUCAUUGGGUUA